rfam:Pseudomonas alkylphenolica strain KL28 chromosome, complete genome.
CUUUAUGGUGGCUGUGCGCGGGAGGGCUUCGGCCCUGCCGGGUUCCUAACUUACCGGUUCGCCAACCCGCGUACAGCUGCCACCCAU